rnacentral:rRNA from 1 species
AUUGAACGCUGGCGGCAUGCCUUACACAUGCAAGUCGAACGGCAGCGGGGGAGAAGCUUGCUUUUCCUGCCGGCGAGUGGCGAACGGGUGAGUAAUACAUCGGAACGUGCCCUGUAGUGGGGGAUAACUAGUCGAAAGAUUAGCUAAUACCGCAUACGACCUGAGGGUGAAAGUGGGGGACCGCAAGGCCUCAUGCUAUAGGAGCGGCCGAUGUCGGAUUGGCUAGUUGGUGGGGUAAAGGCCUACCAAGGCGACGAUCAGUAGCUGGUCUGAGAGGACGAUCAGCGACACUGGGACUGAGACACGGCCCAGACUCCUACGGGAGGCAGCAGUGGGGAAUUUUGGACAAUGGGCGAAAGCCUGAUCCAGCAAUGCCGCGUGUGUGAAGAAGGCCUUCGGGUUGUAAAGCACUUUUGUCCGGAAAGAAAUGGCUCUGGUUAAUACCUGGGGUCGAUGACGGUACCGGAAGAAUAAGGACCGGCUAACUACGUGCCAGCCGCCGCCGCGG